CCGAGGACGAACGCUGGCGGCGUGCCUAAGUACAAUGCAAGCGUAGCGAGCAGAACCAGCAGAGUUACUUCGGUAAUGACGCUGGGGACGCGAGCGGCGGAUGGGUGAGUAACACGUGGGGAACCUGCCCCAUAGCCUGGGAUACCACUUGGAAACAGGUAGCUAAUACCGGAUAAGAAAGCAGAUCGCAUGAUCAGCUUAUAAAAGGCGGCGUAAGCUGUCGCUAUGAGAUGGACCCGCGUCAGAUUAGCUAGUUGGCAGGGUAACGGCCUACCAAGGCGACGAUCUGUAGCCGACCUGAGAGGGUGACCGGCCACAUUGGGACUGAGACACGGCCCAAACUCCUACGGGAGGCAGCAGUGGGGAAUAUUGCACAAUGGGGGAAACCCUGAUGCAGCGACGCCGCGUGAGCGAAGAAGUAUUUCGGUAUGUAAAGCUCUAUCAGCAGGGAAAAAGUAAGGAAGAAUUAGCCAAGGUUGAUUCUGACUGGAACAAACAUUUUAUCAGAGAGUUUGAUCCUGGCU
rnacentral:rRNA from 1 species